rnacentral:rRNA from 1 species
AUUGAACGCUGGCGGCAUGCUUUACACAUGCAAGUCGAACGGCAGCGCGGGCUUCGGCCUGGCGGCGAGUGGCGAACGGGUGAGUAAUGCAUCGGAACGUGCCCAGUAGUGGGGGAUAGCCCGGCGAAAGCCGGAUUAAUACCGCAUACGACCUGAGGGUGAAAGCGGGGGACCGAAAGGCCUCGCGCUAUUGGAGCGGCCGAUGUCGGAUUAGCUAGUUGGUGUGGUAAAGGCUUACCAAGGCGACGAUCCGUAGCUGGUCUGAGAGGACGACCAGCCAACACUGGGCUGAGGCACCGGCCCAGACUCCUAGGGGGGGAGGCGGUGGGGAAUUUUGGCCAUGGGGGGCAACCCUACGCCGCCAAGGCGGGGGGGGGGAAGAAGGCCUUCGGGUUGUAAACCGUUUUUGUUGGGAAGAAAAUCCUCUGGGCUAAUACCCCGGGGGAUGACGGUACCGGAAGAAUAAGCACCGGCUAACUACGUG